AUCGUGUUUCGGCACGAGUUGUAAAUUGCAGGUUGGAGUCUUUGUGGAAGCGUGUGUCCAAGUCCCUUGGAACAGGGCGCCAUUGAGGGUGAGAGCCCCGUGGGAUGCGCGCGGAAGCAGCAAGGCCCUUCUGACGAGUCGAGUUGUUUGGGAAUGCAGCUCUAAGCGGGUGGUAAAUUCCAUCUAAGGCUAAAUACUGGCGAGAGACCGAUAGCGAACAAGUACUGUGAAGGAAAGAUGAAAAGCACUUUGAAAAGAGAGUGAAACAGCACGUGAAAUUGUUGAAAGGGAAGGGUAUUGGGCCCGACAUG
rnacentral:rRNA from 1 species